rnacentral:rRNA from 1 species
UGGGGAAUUUUGCACAAUGGGGGAAACCCUGAUGCAGCGACGCCGCGUGAUUUAGAAGGCCUUCGGGUUGUAAAAAUCUUUUGUAUGGGAAGAAAAUGACAGUACCAUACGAAUAAGGACCGGCUAAUUACGUGCCAGCAGCCGCGGUAAUACGUAAGGUCCGAGCGUUGUCCGGAAUCAUUGGGCGUAAAGGGUACGUAGGCGGAUAAGCAAGUUAGAAGUGAAAUCCUAUAGCUCAACUAUAGUAAGCUUUUAAAACUGCUCAUCUUGAGGUAUGGAAGGGAAAGUGGAAUUCCUAGUGUAGCGGUGAAAUGCGCAGAUAUUAGGGGGAAUACCGGUGGCGAAGGCGACUUUCUGGCCAUAAACUGACGCUGAUGUACGAAAGCGUGGGUAGCAAACAGG